rnacentral:tRNA from 2 species
GGUACCGUGGCCGAGUGGCUAGGCGGAGGUCUGCAAAACCUUACACAGCGGUUCGAAUCCGCUCGGUACCUCCA